GAAACCGAGUCUUAAUUGGGCGUUAAGUUGCAGGGUAUAGACCCGAAACCCGGUGAUCUAGCCAUGGGCAGGUUGAAGGUUGGGUAACACUAACUGGAGGACCGAACCGACUAAUGUUGAAAAAUUAGCGGAUGACCUGUGGCUGGGGGUGAAAGGCCAAUCAAACCGGGAGAUAGCUGGUUCUCCCCGAAAGCUAUUUAGGUAGCGCCUCGUGAAUUCAUCUCCGGGGGUAGAGCACUGUUUCGGCUAGGGGGCCAUCCCGGCUUACCAACCCGAUGCAAACUGCGAAUACCGGAGAAUGUUAUCACGGGAGACACACGGCGGGUGCUAACGUCCGUCGUGAAGAGGGAAACAACCCAGACCGCCAGCUAAGGUCCCAAAGUCAUGGUUAAGUGGGAAACGAUGUGGGAAGGCCCAGACAGCCAGGAUGUUGGCUUAGAAGCAGCCAUCAUUUAAAGAAAGCGUAAUAGCUCACUGGUCGAGUCGGCCUGCGCGGAAGAUGUAACGGGGCUAAACCAUGCACCGAAGCUGCGGCAGCGACACUGUGUGUUGUUGGGUAGGGGAGCGUUCUGUAAGCCUGUGAAGGUGGCCUGUGAGGGUUGCUGGAGGUAUCAGAAGUGCGAAUGCUGACAUAAGUAACGAUAAAGCGGGUGAAAAGCCCGCUCGCCGGAAGACCAAGGGUUCCUGUCCAACGUUAAUCGGGGCAGGGUGAGUCGACCCCUAAGGCGAGGCCGAAAGGCGUAGUCGAUGGGAAACGGGUUAAUAUUCCCGUACUUGGUGUUACUGCGAAGGGGGGACGGAGAAGGCUAUGUUGGCCGGGCGACGGUUGUCCCGGUUUAAGCGUGUAGGUGUGUGUUCCAGGUAAAUCCGGUUCACUUUAACACUGAGGCGUGACGACGAGGCACUACGGUGCUGAAGCAACAAAUGCCCUGCUUCCAGGAAAAGCCUCUAAGCAUCAGGUAACAUCAAAUCGUACCCCAAACCGACACAGGUGGUCAGGUAGAGAAUACCAAGGCGCUUGAGAGAACUCGGGUGAAGGAACUAGGCAAAAUGGUGCCGUAACUUCGGGAGAAGGCACGCUGACACGUAGGUGAAGUGAUUUACUCAUGGAGCUGAAGUCAGUCGAAGAUACCAGCUGGCUGCAACUGUUUAUUAAAAACACAGCACUGUGCAAACACGAAAGUGGACGUAUACGGUGUGACGCCUGCCCGGUGCCGGAAGGUUAAUUGAUGGGGUCAGCGCAAGCGAAGCUCCUGAUCGAAGCCCCGGUAAACGGCGGCCGUAACUAUAACGGUCCUAAGGUAGCGAAAUUCCUUGUCGGGUAAGUUCCGACCUGCACGAAUGGCGUAAUGAUGGCCAGGCUGUCUCCACCCGAGACUCAGUGAAAUUGAACUCGCUGUGAAGAUGCAGUGUACCCGCGGCAAGACGGAAAGACCCCGUGAACCUUUACUAUAGCUUGACACUGAACAUUGAGCCUUGAUGUGUAGGAUAGGUGGGAGGCUUUGAAGUGUGGACGCCAGUCUGCAUGGAGCCGACCUUGAAAUACCACCCUUUAAUGUUUGAUGUUCUAACGUGGACCCGUAAUCCGGGUUGCGGACAGUGUCUGGUGGGUAGUUUGACUGGGGCGGUCUCCUCCUAAAGAGUAACGGAGGAGCACGAAGGUUGGCUAAUCCUGGUCGGACAUCAGGAGGUUAGUGCAAUGGCAUAAGCCAGCUUGACUGCGAGCGUGACGGCGCGAGCAGGUGCGAAAGCAGGUCAUAGUGAUCCGGUGGUUCUGAAUGGAAGGGCCAUCGCUCAACGGAUAAAAGGUACUCCGGGGAUAACAGGCUGAUACCGCCCAAGAGUUCAUAUCGACGGCGGUGUUUGGCACCUCGAUGUCGGCUCAUCACAUCCUGGGGCUGAAGUAGGUCCCAAGGGUAUGGCUGUUCGCCAUUUAAAGUGGUACGCGAGCUGGGUUUAGAACGUCGUGAGACAGUUCGGUCCCUAUCUGCCGUGGGCGCUGGAGAACUGAGGGGGGCUGCUCCUAGUACGAGAGGACCGGAGUGGACGCAUCACUGGUGUUCGGGUUGUCAUGCCAAUGGCACUGCCCGGUAGCUAAAUGCGGAAGAGAUAAGUGCUGAAAGCAUCUAAGCACGAAACUUGCCCCGA
rnacentral:rRNA from 1 species